GACCAACGCUGGCGGCGUGCUUAACACAUGCAAGUCGAACGGAAAGGCCCUGCUUUUGUGGGGUGCUCGAGUGGCGAACGGGUGAGUAACACGUGAGUAACCUGCCCUUGACUUUGGGAUAACUUCAGGAAACUGGGGCUAAUACCGGAUAGGAGCUCCUGCUGCAUGGUGGGGGUUGGAAAGUUUCGGCGGUUGGGGAUGGACUCGCGGCUUAUCAGCUUGUUGGUGGGGUAGUGGCUUACCAAGGCUUUGACGGGUAGCCGGCCUGAGAGGGUGACCGGCCACAUUGGGACUGAGAUACGGACCAGACGCCUACGGGAGGCAGCAGUGGGGAAUAUUGCACAAUGGGCGGAAGCCUGAUGCAGCAACGCCGCGGGCGGGAUGACGGCCUUCGGGUUGUAAACCGCUUUCGCCUGUGACGAAGCGUGAGUGACGGUAAUGGGUAAAGAAGCACCGGCUAACUACGUG
rnacentral:rRNA from 1 species